UUCACUUUGUGUCGGUUGUAGUAAGCUUGCACAUGUAAAGAUUCAUACAAGAUUUAUUGAAAUUUAAGUGCUCAUUUGAACAUGUAUAGUUAAAGCUUAAAGGCAAUUCGCAUAUACUGGUAUGCAAAUUAUGCCGCUAAUUACGAAAUUUAAAUGAUGAUGAUGACAACUAAAAGUUAACUUUAUUUUUUACAGGUCUGUUUGGUGUAGAAUAACCGAAUAACGGGUGUUUUUCGGGUUUUCAGUGAUCAAAUCACAGUCUUAUCGUGAGCGCAUAUUGCCGGGAUAUUUACCUGCAUUUUUUUAAUUAUGCAGCUGUGUUAAGAGCGGCGUCAUUUUGAUCUGCUCUGUGUGGAAAUGUUUGUGUGGUUGUACUUUUUAUCGUGACCUGUACCAUUGCGUAAGGAACAGACGGUGCGGAAUAAGCCCGAUGGUAAAAUAGAAGUUUUUACUUUUUACUACUCGUCAUUAUUGCAGCGAACUUUGUCUGGGCACCAACCGGUGCCCAUUAAGCGGUGAGGAUUUUUGCAUUACAGUAUUAAGCGUACACCGUCCAUGCCAAAUGAUUGCAAAUCGAAACGCGGAUGCCAAAUGAUUGCAAAUCGAAACGCGGAUUCUUCGUGAAUCGGCGUGGUUUGGAGCUUGGCACAGUUUUCAAAUUCAUUCUUUUUGCAGCACCAUUACGCAUUAAUUGCUGAUCGAGCUAUUCAUGCCGAAACAAAUCCACAUCGUUCCACGAUAACUGGCAGAUGCGACACUGUGUCGUUGGUGUUGCCGGAUGCCGGUGACGACGCUUCCUUAGCGGCACUAUUCACGGAAUCGUUGUGUGACAGCCAUUUCCCGUGGGUUUUUCUGACCGCACAUCGAAGCCCGUCGAACACAGUGCGGCCCCCACGUCGACUUCCUUGGCAAUAUUUCUCACAUGUGUCAUCAGAAUGGUCGUGGGGAGCGCGAUCGCUUUGGCCAGAAUCCGCUUAAUUAAUAACUCGCUGUUUUUCGCGAGUAUCCACGGUAUAUUUUUCUUCCACACCGGGAUCACCCUUCGAAUGCGGACUGCGGAGCAUCCGGCUGGACCGCGAAAUUGCGCUGCUACAUGGGCAACACUUUGCGGACACACGUCCAACCUCUUGACAAUCGCUUCCCGGACACUAUCAGCCUGCAGAUGUGCAGUCUGCGCCAUCAUCUCGUCGCUGACCGUCUUAUAUCGACAUCCGCGUAGCCACAUGGGCACCUCGGCCGCCGCCAUCUUCCGCCUGCAGCUGCACAAGACGCCAUCUCGUUGCGGAGUUAUCGGUGUGCGCAUGCACCCGGCAGGAAGGCGGAUUGGUGGAUGAGCCGUCUACCUUUCUGCCGGACUUCGAAAGGACGGUGAUGCAGUGUCACUGGACGUCCAACAACAUCAUGCCGUUUACGCACGCCGCACCAUGACGUUCUACAAAGAAUUUCUCCAUUUGGCGCAACAGCUGCAUAGUGUGCUUGGACACGUUGACCUUUUACUGGACGGCCGCAGUGGUCACGUGUUAUCCUUUCGCAACAGGCUUUAUGAUUACCGCUCUUUUCUCUAGCUUGGCGCGCUGAGGCCCAGAUCAUCCCGUUUCCUGAAACACCCUCCGCGGAUUGUUUUACGAUGACGUUGACGUUUUCUUCAUCACUAUCUGUGCGCUUUCUAAAUCGGAAUAAUGUCGAGGCUUGUUGUCCGUAUGACCCUGCUCGAACAAGUAGGCGAUUUGUUUCCGCCACUCGUCCAGGGACCCAUCGAGUAGCUACUCUAGAUAAUCGAGUUCCCGCGGGAGCUGUGCUGCGCUCACAGCUUAAUGCACGAAAUCCCUUUUGUACAAGCUGCAGUGCAACUCGUUAAUGCAGGGUAAUAUAAAUAUGUCUGUGAUGUAACCGCAAAGCGCGACGAGUAGAGAAUCUGUUCUUUUUGUAUCAUUGUAUGCCGCUAAUUUUCUGGCGUCGGCUUCGACAGUAUUGCUGUUUGAGCCCUUAUUUGACUAUUUGGAAGUACCAGCUAAUGGUUUGUUACGUCU